rnacentral:rRNA from 1 species
CCCUUAGAUGUCCUGGGCCGCACGCGCGCUACACUGAGUGUCUGAGAUACGAGUCUGCCUGGUCCGGCAAGGUCUAGGUAAUCGCUAAAAGACACAUCAUGCUUGGGAUAGAUUAUUGCAAAUAUUAAUCUUGAACGAGGAAUUCCUAGUAAGCGCGAGUCAUCAGCUCGCAUUGAUUACGUCCCUGCCCUUUGUACACACCGCCCGUCGCACCUACCGAUUGAAUGGUUCGGUGAAGAUCUCGGACUUCGAUAUUUAUUCUUUAUUGAGUUUAUAUUGUGGGAAGUUAUCUAAACCUCAUCAUUUAGAGGAAGGUGAAGUCGUAACA